CGGCCCAACUAGCUGAUUCCCCUCAAAAAAAAGAGAAGCUGAUGUGGUGCCUCCUCUUCUCUGGCACAUGCUGCUCAUCGCCUCGCUCCAUGCCCCCACAACCCUGCCGAUCUCGAACUAGGCUAAACCUAGCUGUAUUUCCGGUCAGGUCGCCGCCCUAGAGAGAGAAGAUGGAAAAUGGCAACAAUGGGUUGGAGUGAGUCUCCAAGCAAUCUCUGUUGAAGUCGAGCCGCCCGGGUCGCUGCCAUUAUCUCCUAUUUCUUUUUUCGUGCGGAUCGCCCGGAUCAGAGGAAGGCGAUGACAGCAUCGGAGGCCACUUCCUCCGGUCAUGCAUGUCCCUCUGAUCAAGGCACAAAAUCUCUCCAGAAUUGUUAGGUCCAUGAUGGUGGAAGAGGAGAUGACAGGAUGAGGAGCAGGUACGUGUCCCUCCCCCUUCCGCGCCUCCCCUAUUUUCGAUUGAUCCACUUACUCGAUCUGGUGUCCAUGUUGGUCGAAGAGGAGAUGAGAGGAUGAGGAGCAGAGGAUCGGAUUUCAGAAAGUGGGAAGAAGCGGAGGCCAGCCAGUUGAAAUCUAUUGUCCUUAUCGUUAGGUCUCCCCCAAUCUCGUCCUUGAAGAACAGCGACCUUGCACGAUCAGGGCAGCUCGUCAGCUUGCUUGCCGGCUGCAGGCCGAUUAAAUCAGUAUCUCCGGCACGCUGCUGUCCCAGACAGGAUACACGCUUCGACCCUGUAUCAUUCAUAUCUUCUCCUAGGUGUGUGAGGAGGAGAAAUCAGGAGGACGAGGAGGAGAACAGCGAUCAUGCACAUGCGAAACGAGUUGUCCUCAUUUGUGUGUAAAAACAGUCAGUUUAAAGCUAUACAGAAUAUGGACAAUAUGGGGACAGAAAGCUCAAAGAUGGCAAAAAGGGACCUUUAGGAGAUAUUUCAGUUGGGGUCAGUUGACGACAUUACUAUCAACGGGAAUUUAUUUCAUCCACAAUAAAGUUAGAGGACGAGUCCUGCCAUGUUUGUAAGUAGCUGUUGUAUCAACUUGAUGUUCUUGACUAAGAUCAUGGUAAGCUUUAAUUUAAAUCAAAUUAUUAUUUUGGUUUUAUUUCCUUUUUUAUUCAGAAACUGACUUACCUUGGUUUUGUGACACUGUAUUGGGUGUCUUCUUUUCCUUUGAAGUGUUGAGAUGUCAAGUUUGUGGAGAUCUUCAUUGUUCCUUCUUUUUUGAAGCUCACACCGAUGUAACAUGAUAGUUCUCUACCCUAACAAUGUAAUAUUGCGCAUCAAGAUUAUGAAUUAUGAAAUUUGUAUUUUCUUACCUGUUUAGCUGGACGCGCCUUUUUAAAUUGAAUUGUUUGUCCUGAGUUAUCGAUAUCGAUGGUUUGGUCAAAUAUUAUUUUUGGUUUGUUAGCUACUUGUACAUUUCAUAAAGUGCCUUAUUGGACUUGAAAGUAAGCACCAACAAGCCAAAAAUAGUACACUGAUCUAUGUUCUUAUCCUCUUCCAAGACAAAAGUAAUCAUUUUUAAUGGACAAUACCGUUCACUCCCUAUUUCAUAGUAUGAUAUAUAUUAUAUAGAUUGGAAGAACUUGUGACAUGAAAGGAUAGACAAUGCUAUAACAAUAUCAUGUACAUUUUGUACAGUAUAAUAUGUGAAUAAUAUAAACAAAUGGAUACUGAUUUUAUGUGAAUAAUAUAGACGGUUCUCCAUCUAUUGAAUGUUGUGUUGACAUGUUUAGAAUCAGAACUGUAGGCAGUUAUCCUUUUCUAACCACCAAAACAUGGAGUGCUUGAUGAUUCUGUGAAAAGGAUGGGUGGGAUUUGGUUCAGUUUACUUGUCCUAAAUAAUAUUUACCUUUGAGUUAAGGUACAAUUUCCUACUGCUAGCCAAUUUUAACUCAGAGCAUGUCGUUCUGUAAAUUACGCAUUGUGGAUUUGAUUACCAAAUAUUCUUUUUUUGUCUGUCAGCAACAACAUUUGUUCAUCAUUAUUUAGGCGUACUAUUUUUCAUAUAUUUCAGACAAAUCUUCGGCUGGAUGGAUAUCCGAUUGCAAAGCAGUGAAUUUCUUACAUUACCAAGCAAGAAACUGCAAUUAGUAGUUCCCUGUAGUUUAUAAGAUACACCAUAUCUAUAUAUGAAAAAAUAGUCAAGUUUAACCUCCUAUGUUGCUAACCAAUAUAUGCCAGUUUAUUAAAAUUUAACUUUCAUGUUGUUUAUUUGUAUAUAAUACAUAAACACCUAUCAUUUACUGUCAAAAUAGACGGGCGUGGCAACGCGUGCCACCGAUGAUCUAGUUUAUUGAUGAUUACCUUGCAAACUACAUGACCAGAGUGGAGGCAACUAAGGUUAAAGUAUAUAAUUCAUGCUACCAUGAUAAUGCUCUAGAAGUCUUCCUGAAGGUGGCGAAGGAUGGGCGGGCGAUCGUCACAAGGGGUUGGACAAAAGUUGUUUGUGCCUAUGGCAUGCAGGAGGCCACAUUAUGGGCAUUCCGCUUCUUCAACACCAUCGACAGCCAAAAUGAUUUACACUUCUCUCUACACCUUUACCGCCUCUAAAUAUUGUGGUCCAUCAUAGUUAAUUGAUGUCUAAUCCAAUAAUUACUGAACAUAUUGUACUGAUAAUUUUAUUUAUGGAUUCGUUGUUGAACCAUUGUGCUGAGAAUUUGAA